UUAAUCGAAUCUAAUACAUUAGAUUAUCACUGUUAAUGAUAGCUGAGGAAAUUAUUUUUCCCGUUUAAA
rnacentral:tRNA from 1 species